ACGAAUUUCAGAGGUUGUGCUGGUUCUUACAAGUGCACGCCUCUUUCAAUUCCAUUCACACCCAUGUGCACUUUAAGAGACGCAUUUCCCCCGUUUACGUGCCUUUAUCGGCUCGGGAUUUCGUCUGUUUUACACACUCUAUUUGUAUUAGAACGUAAUCUAGCGGAAACGCUGAAACAUAAUA
rnacentral:misc_RNA from 1 species